ACUCCUACGGGAGGCAGCAGUGGGGAAUAUUGGACAAUGGGGAACCGUAGCAUCCAGCCAAUGCCGCGCUGUGUGAAGAAGGCCUUUGGUUGUAAAGCACUUUAAGCGCAGGAGGAGGCUUACCUGGUUAAUACCUGGGAUAAGUGACGUUACUCGCAGAAUAAGCACCGGCUAACUCUGUGCCAGCAGCCGCGGUAAUACAGAGGGUGCAAGC
rnacentral:rRNA from 1 species